rnacentral:rRNA from 1 species
GACGUAGGGCGCGAGCGUUGUCCGGAUUUAUUGGGCGUAAAGAGCUCGUAGGCGGCUUGUUGCGUCAGCUGUGAAAACCGCAGCUCAACUGUGGCGUGCGGUCGAUACGGGCAUCACUGGAGUUCGGCAGGGAGACUGGAAUUCUGGAUGUAGCGGUGAAAUGCGCAGAUAUCGUAAGGAAGACCAGUGGCGAAGGCGGGUCGUCUGGACAGUUCCGUGAACGCUGAGGCACGGAAGGUCAAGGGAGACAAACGGGAGUUA